CCCUGGAAACGGGGUCUAAUACCGGAUAUGACUGUCCAUCGCAUGGUGGAUGGUGUAAAGCUCCGGCGGUGCAGGAUGAGCCCGCGGCCUAUCAGCUUGUUGGUGAGGUAGUGGCUCACCAAGGCGACGACGGGUAGCCGGCCUGAGAGGGCGACCGGCCACACUGGGACUGAGACACGGCCCAGACUCCUACGGGAGGCAGCAGUGGGGAAUAUUGCACAAUGGGCGAAAGCCUGAUGCAGCGACGCCGCGUGAGGGAUGACGGCCUUCGGGUUGUAAACCUCUUUCAGCAGGGAAGAAGCGAAAGUGACGGUACCUGCAGAAGAAGCGCCGGCUAACUACGUGCCAGCAGCCGCGGUAAUACGUAGGGCGCAAGCGUUGUCCGGAAUUAUUGGGCGUAAAGAGCUCGUAGGCGGCUUGUCACGUCGGUUGUGAAAGCCCGGGGCUUAACCCCGGGUCUGCAGUCGAUACGGGCAGGCUAGAGUUCGGUAGGGGAGAUCGGAAUUCCUGGUGUAGCGGUGAAAUGCGCAGAUAUCAGGAGAGAACACCGGUGGCGAAGGCGGGAUCUCUGGGCCGAUACUGACGCUGAGGAGCGAAAGCGUGGGGAGCGAACAGGAUUAGAUACCCUGUUAGUCCACGCCGUAACGGUUGGGCACUAGGUGUGGGCAACAUUCCACGUUGUUCCGUGCCGCAGCUAACGCAUUAAGUGCCCCGCUGGGGAGUACGGCCGGCAGGCUAAAACUCAAAGGAUUGACGG
rnacentral:rRNA from 1 species